UACGGAGGGGGCAAGCGUUGUUCGGAAUCAUUGGGCGUAAAGGGCGCGUAGGCGGCCGGCCAAGUCGGGUGUGAAAUCCCUCGGCUCAACCGAGGAACUGCACUCGAUACUGGUUGGCUCGAGUCCGGGAGGGGAUGGUGGAAUUCCCAGUGUAGCGGUGAAAUGCGUAGAUAUUGGGAAGAACACCGGUGGCGAAGGCGGCUCUCUGGGACGGUACUGACGCUGAGACGCGAAAGCGUGGGGAGCAAACAGG
rnacentral:rRNA from 1 species